AACGCUGGCGGCGUGCCUAACACAUGCAAGUCGAACGCGAAAGGGGCUUCGGUCCUGAGUAGAGUGGCGAACGGGUGAGUAACGCGUGGGUGAUCUACCUUCGAGUGGGGGAUAACGUCCCGAAAGGGGCGCUAAUACCGCAUGAUGUUCUGGGUUUAAAGACCUGGAAACCAAAGCCGGGGACCGCAAGGCCUGGCGCUUGAAGAGGAGCCCGCGUCCGAUUAGCUAGUUGGCGGGGUAACGGCCCACCAAGGCGACGAUCGGUAGCCGGCCUGAGAGGGCGGACGGCCACACUGGAACUGAGACACGGUCCAGACUCCUACGGGAGGCAGCAGUGGGGAAUUGUUCACAAUGGGCGCAAGCCUGAUGACGCAACGCCGCGUGGGGGAUGAAGGUCUUCGGAUUGUAAACCCCUGUCGAAUGGGACGAAUGGCCCGCGUUUUAAUACUGCGCGGGAAUGACGGUACCGUUAAAGGAAGCCACGGCUAACU
rnacentral:rRNA from 1 species